rnacentral:tRNA from 1 species
AUUUCUUUAUUUAUGUAGUUUAAAAAACAUUACAUUUUCAUUGUAAAAUUAAAUAUUUAUUAUUUUAUAA